rnacentral:rRNA from 1 species
AUUGAACGCUAGCGGCAUGCUUUACACAUGCAAGUCGAACGAGUGGCGGACGGGUGAGUAAUGUAUGGGAACGUGCCCGGUAGCGGGGGAUAACUACUGGAAACGGUAGCUACUACCGCAUACUAUCAGAUGUGCCCAUAUGGGAUUAGCUAGUUGGUGGGGUAAAGGCUCACCAAGGCAACGAUCCGUAGCUGGUUUGAGAGGAUGACCAGCCACACUGGGACUGAGACACGGCCCAGACUCCUACGGGAGGCAGCAGUGGGGAAGAUUGGACAAUGGGGGAAAGCCUGAUCCAGCCAUCCCGCGUGUAUGAUGAAGGCCUUCGGGUUGUAAAGUACUUUUGGCAGAGAGGCGGUAUCUGCAGAAGAAGCACCGGCUAACUACGUGCCAGCAGCCGCGGUAAUUC